rnacentral:ncRNA from 1 species
UAAAUAUUUGAUUUUAGUUUGAAUUUUUACGUUAUUAUUAAAAAUUGUAUGAAAGUUUAGGCGAGUUAAAUAAUUUAAUUAAAUAUUAAAUUAAGUUUUUAGAUAAUUGAAAUUAUAAAACUUUUUGAUCUCAGCAUGACAUAUUACAUAGAUUAAUGCACUAAAGUGUGAUGAAGUAAUAAUAAAAAAUCUGAUAUAUAUUUGUGCCAGCAUUCGCGGUUAUACUUUAAGGUUAAGUAAAAAUUUUUAGGUUUAUAGUUAAAUGAGUGAAUUAAAAUUAUUAUAAGUAAUAAAAGGUAAAAUUAGGGUAUUAUUUUGUAUAAAACAUAUUUAAAAUUGAAGCUAGAAAAAUUCAGUAAUAAACUAGGAUUAGAUACCCUAUUAUUCUGGAAAAAAUUAUUUAAACUAAAUUAAUAAAAGAUAAAUACUUGAAAUUUAAAAAAUUUGGCGGCAAUUUAAUCUUUUCAGAGGAACUUGUUUUGUAAUCGAUAAACCACGAAAAAUCUUACUUGUUUUUGCUUGAACAGUUUGUAUACCAUCAUUAUCGGAUAAUUCUUAAAGGAGAAAUUAUUAAAUAUUAAUUGUUUAUAAAAAUUAGAUCAUGGUGCAGCUUAUAGGCAAGAUAAAAUGAGUUACAAUAAAUUAUUUUAGUGCGAAUUUAUAAUUUAAAAUUAUUAGGAAGAAGGAUUUGAUUGUAUUUUUAGUUUAAUAAGCUAAAAGGAUAUAAGUUCUAAAUUGUGUACAUAUCGCCCGUCGCUUUCAUUUAUAAGUGAAAUAAGUCGUAACAUAGUAGAUGUACUGGAAAGUGUAUCUAGUUGGAU